rnacentral:pre_miRNA from 14 species
GGAUCUCAGACGUCUCGGGGAUCAUCAUGUCACGAGAUACCACUGCGCACUUGUGACAGAUUGAUAACUGAAAGGUCUGGGAGCC